rnacentral:rRNA from 1 species
CGGUAAUUCCAGCUCCAAUAGCGUAUACUAAAGUUGUUGCAGUUAAAAAGCUCGUAGUUGGAUUUCUGCGGGGACGGAGCGGCCGGACGCAACUUGCGUCUCGAGCUAGCGCUUUCCCCGCAUCCUGCCGCGAACCGUGCUACCAUUAGUUUGGUGGCGCUGGGGAUCGGCUCGAUUACUUUGAGAAAAAUAGAGUGUUCAAAGCAGGCCACACGCCUUGAAUAAGUUAGCAUGGAAUAAUGACUAAGGACUUUGGUUCUUUUCGUUGGUGUUCGGGACUGAAGUAAUGAUUGAUAGGGACAGUUGGGGCGGUCCGUAUUCCAAAGCGAGAGGUGAAAUUCUUAGACCUUCGGAAGACGAACAGCUGCGAAAGCGUUCCGCAAGGAUGUUCCCUUUGAUCAAGAACGAAAGUUGGGGGAUCGAAGACGAUCAGAUACCGUCGUAGUCUCAACUAUAAACUAUACCAGCUAGGGAUCGGCCAACGUUUAAUUAUUCGACUUGGUCGGCACCUUAUGAGAAAUCAAAGCAUCUGGGUUCCGGGGGGAGUAUGGUCGCAAGGCUGAAACUUAAAGGAAUUGACGGAAGGGCACCACCAGGCGUGGAGCCUGUGGCUUAAUUUGACUCAACACGGGAAAACUUACCAGGUCCAGACAUAGGAAGGAUUGACAGAUUGAUAGCUCUUUCUUGAUUCUGUGGGUGGUGGUGCAUGGCCGUUUUUAGUCGGUGAAGUGAUUUGUCUGCUUAAUUGCGUUAACGGACGAGACCCCAGCCUGCUAAAUAGCGCGGCCGAGCUUUGCUCGGUACGAGCUUCUUAGAGGGACCCUGAUGCGCGAUAGCACAAGGAAGUUUGGGGCAACAACAGGUCUGUGAUGCCCUUAGAUGUUCUGGGCCGCACACGGGCUACACUGGCGCCUGCAACGAGCAUAUCAGCUGGCCCGAGAGGGUCUUGGCUAAUCUUUGGAACCGGCGCCGUGCUUGGGAUUGACCAUUGCAAUUGUUGGUCAUGCAACGAGGAAUGCCUUGUAAACGCGAGUCAUCAGCUCGCAUUGAAUACGUCCCUGCCCUUUGUACACACCGCCCGUCGCUCCUACCGAUGAAUGUUCCGAUGAAAUUUUCGGAGAGCGCCGGAGAACGGGGCUCUGCCCUGCAGAACUGGAGGCUCAAAGUCACUUAAAUCUGAACAUUUCGAGGAAGGAGAAGUCGUAACAAGGUAGCCG